UACGUAGGGUGCGAGCGUUGUCCGGAAUUAUUGGGCGUAAAGGGCUCGUAGGCGGUCUGUUACGUCGGGAGUGAAAACUCAGGGCUCAACCCUGAGCCUGCUUCCGAUACGGGCAGACUAGAGGUAUGCAGGGGAGAUUGGAAUUCCUGGUGUAGCGGUGGAAUGCGCAGAUAUCAGGAGGAACACCGGUGGCGAAGGCGGUUCUCUGGGCCUUACCUGACGCUGAGGAGCGAAAGCAUGGGGAGCGAACAGG
rnacentral:rRNA from 1 species